AGAGCGAACGCUGGCGGCAGGCUUAACACAUGCAAGUCGAGCGGGCGUAGCAAUACGUCAGCGGCAGACGGGUGAGUAACGCGUGGGAACGUACCUUUUGGUUCGGAACAACACAGGGAAACUUGUGCUAAUACCGGAUAAGCCCUUACGGGGAAAGAUUUAUCGCCGAAAGAUCGGCCCGCGUCUGAUUAGCUAGUUGGUGGGGUAACGGCUCACCAAGGCGACGAUCAGUAGCUGGUCUGAGAGGAUGAUCAGCCACAUUGGGACUGAGACACGGCCCAAACUCCUACGGGAGGCAGCAGUGGGGAAUAUUGGACAAUGGGCGCAAGCCUGAUCCAGCCAUGCCGCGUGAGUGAUGAAGGCCCUAGGGUUGUAAAGCUCUUUUGUGCGGGAAGAUAAUGACGGUACCGCAAGAAUAACGCCCGGCUAACUUCGUGCCAGCAGCCGC
rnacentral:rRNA from 1 species